CCACCCAACUGCAAUCCGCACUACAUCGUGGAGACGCCCUUCAUUUCCAAUGCUUCAAGGUCUAGAUGUCCUUCGCCGAGUACAAGGCCAGGGUCCCCUGCAGGCGGUGGCAGGCGUGGUUCACCUGAACCAAGCUCAAGAUGUCCUUCGCCGAGCACAAGGCCAAGGUCCCCUGGCAGGCGUAGUUCACCUGAACCAAGCUCAAGAUGCCAGACUUGCGAUUGUCAUAAACCGAGAUGCCCUCCACAGCCACGUAGAGGAUCCAGCUCCUACAAAAGUCCGCCCCCGUCACGCCCACGAUGUACAACGCU
rnacentral:lncRNA from 1 species